rnacentral:rRNA from 1 species
UACGUAGGGGGCAAGCGUUGUCCGGAUUUACUGGGCGUAAAGGGCGCGUAGGUGGCGACCCAAGUCGAUGGUGAAAGCUCGCCGCUUAACGGCGAGUCGGCCACCGAUACUGGGUUGCUUGAGCACUGUAGAGGCAGGUGGAAUUCCGGGUGUAGCGGUGGAAUGUGUAGAGAUCCGGAAGAACACCGGUGGCGAAGGCGGCCUGCUGGGCAGUAGCUGACGCUGAUGCGCGACAGCGUGGGGAGCAAACAGG